UGGGGAAUAUUGGACAAUGGGCGCAAGCCUGAUCCAGCAAUGCCGCGUGAGUGAUGAAGGCCUUAGGGUUGUAAAGCUCUUUUACCAGGGAUGAUAAUGACAGUACCUGGAGAAUAAGCUCCGGCUAACUCCGUGCCAGCAGCCGCGGUAAUACGGAGGGAGCUAGCGUUGUUCGGAAUUACUGGGCGUAAAGCGCGCGUAGGCGGCUCACCAAGUCAGGGGUGAAAUCCCGGGGCUCAACCCCGGAACUGCCCUUGAAACUGGUAGGCUAGAAUCCUGGAGAGGCGAGUGGAAUUCCGAGUGUAGAGGUGAAAUUCGUAGAUAUUGGGAAGAACACCGGUGGCGAAGGCGGCGACCUGGUCCGGUACUGACGCUGAGGCGCGAAAGCGUGGGGAGCAAACAGGAUUAGAUACCCCCGUAGUCC
rnacentral:rRNA from 1 species